rnacentral:lncRNA from 1 species
AAGGGAGGGAGGAACACCUUGAGAGGAGUUGAGAUCCUGCUUUCUCUUCAGAAUGCCAUCUCUAGGAUGCCAAUGGGCUGUGUCUACAGUACUAUGUAGGAAAGUGCUGCAAGAGUGACUCUGGAAGGUUGUGCUGAGAACUCUGAAGGCUUGCUGUGACUUUUUGGAGAGCCCAUUUUGCCUAAACAAGAACCACGAUUAUGUAAAGAAAUCAUAAACACCUCUAAAACACAUGUAUACUGGUGGUGUUAGUCAACUUAUAUCACUGUCUGUGAAGACGAUGCAGCAAAUUCAAUGAAAGUUGUAUACAUCAUGGAAAAGUUUGAAUUGCAUGAAGAAAAGAAGCUGACGGAAGUUCUUUCUGUCACCUCUCUGAAGACCUGGUUCAUAUCUGCAGCUGCAACUCUAUCCCUGAACUCAUCUUUGAAACUACCCAGAGAUAGACUGUCAAGAGCUUCAGAGCUUUACAACAGGAUCUUCCAAGUGCCCUGAGAGGUCAUGAUGGAGCCAAUAGAAAUAAAUCAUACAAAACAAAGCCAGAACCUGGUGGGAGGGAUGCUUACAAAACAACAUAAACGAGAAGUUGUCUGAAAAAAAAUUGUAUGGAAGGAAGAAGAGAUGAGAUAAGGGAAAUGAACUCAUAAUAGCCCCAGUUAAAAUACUUACAGUAAAAUAUCAUUAGUACUACUUGAUGUUGGUGAAAGGCUCUAGACUCAAGUCAGAAGGCCCAAUUUGUUGCUGUGAUUUCUUGAACAAAUUAUGUAAUUGUGUUGAGAUUCAGUUUUCUUUUCUAUCAUUGGGUAUUAAUAACUUCUAUGUGAUGUCAGAGUUAUGAUGUGAAGUUAAAAUAACUAAUAAAUGGGUAAACCCUGAAAA